GUGGUCACAUGCUAAAUGUCACAGUGGGUGGCAAAGCUGUACAAGAAGAAGGCGGAAGGUCUGUCACAAAUGAUGGAGGGAGGCAGCCAGUGCUGAAGCCAUGGAUGAAAAUCACUCUGAGAAGCUUUUCAGAGCUUGGCUGGGGACACAGAAAGGUACCAGGUUAUCCAUUUAGGAGCAGGAACACAGAACAAGGUGGCCUGGAUGGAUGAAGUAGAGCACUGAUUCAUGAAGCUUGAAAUACGACUAACUCCUGCUUACUAAGCAAUUACCAGGACCCAGAUAUAACGAUGACUCGCACCAACUGACCCACAGGGCCUUCACACACAAUCUCCAAAGCACGGAUACUGUUGCCAUCACCAUUUUCAAGAUGAAGAACACGAGGUCCCCAGGACUUGCACACGGAGUGAGUGGCACUGCUGGAAUUUGGAUGGCAGUACUGUCUCAAGGCUCUAUGUCCUGCGUUCUUUACACUAGUUUGAAAGUAUCUGUCUCUCAGUAGCUAUCUCUGUUUUUGUAGUUGAGACAUAAACAUUCGGAGAGAGUGGAAGCUCUUCUCACAAUUAC
rnacentral:lncRNA from 1 species